AUCAACUUUCGAUGGUAGGAUAGAGGCCUACCAUGGUGGUAACGGGUAACGGGGUGUUAGGGCACGACACCGGAGAGGGAGCCUGAGAAACGGCUACCACAUCCAAGGAUGGCAACAGGCGCGCAAAUUACCCAAUCCCGACACGGGGAGGUAGUGACAAUAAAUAACAAUACGGGGUUCUUUAGGAUUUCGUAAUUGGAAUGAGUACAAUUUAAACCUCUUAACGAGGAACAAUUGGAGGGCAAGUCUGGUGCCAGCAGCCGCGGUAAUUCCAGCUCCAAUAGCGUAUAUUAAAGUUGUUGCAGUUAAAAAGCUCGUAGUUGAAUUUCGGGGUCAGUAGGUUGGUCAUGCCACUGGUAUGUACUGGUCUCACUGAUUCCUCCUUCCUGAUGAGCCGUAAUGCCAUUAAUUUGGUGUUGCGAGGAAUCUGGACUGUUACUUUGAAAAAAUUAGAGUGUUUAAAGCAGGCUAACGCUUGAAUACAUUAGCAUGGAAUAAUGAAAUAGGACGUUCGAUCUUAUUUUGUUGGUUUCUAAGAUUGACGUAAUGAUUAAUAGGGAUAGUUGGGGGCAUUAGUAUUCAAUUGUCAGAGGUGAAAUUCUUGGAUUUAUUGAAGACUAACUACUGCGAAAGCAUUUGCCAAGGAUGUUUUCAUUAAUCAAGAACGAAAGUUAGGGGAUCGAAGACGAUCAGAUACCGUCGUAGUCUUAACCAUAAACUAUGCCGACUAGGGAUCGGAUGAUGUUAAUUUUUUAAUGACUCAUUCGGCGCCUUACGGGAAACCAAAGUGUUUGGGUUC
rnacentral:rRNA from 1 species